AGUGAACGCUGGCGGUAGGCCUAACACAUGCAAGUCGAACGGCAGCACAGUAAGAGCUUGCUCUUACGGGUGGCGAGUGGCGGACGGGUGAGGAAUACAUCGGAAUCUACUUUUUCUUGGGGGAUAACGUAGGGAAACUUACGCUAAUACCGCAUACGACCUACGGGUGAAAUCAGGGGAUCUUCGGACCUUGCGCGAUUGAAUGAGCCGAUGUCGGAUUAGCUAGUUGGCGGGGUAAAGGCCCACCAAGGCGACGAUCCGUAGCUGGUCUGAGAGGAUGAUCAGCCACACUGGAACUGAGACACGGUCCAGACUCCUACGGGAGGCAGCAGUGGGGAAUAUUGGACAAUGGGCGCAAGCCUGAUCCAGCCAUACCGCGUGGGUGAAGAAGGCCUUCGGGUUGUAAAGCCCUUUUGUUGGGAAAGAAAAGCAGCAGGUUAAUACCCCGCUGUUCUGACGGUACCCAAAGAAUAAGCAACGGCUAACUUCGUG
rnacentral:rRNA from 1 species